rnacentral:tRNA from 1 species
GGUGGCUCAGCGGUAGAGUGCUUGCCUAGCAUGCAAGAGGCCCUGGGUUUGAUUCCUCAGUACCA